rnacentral:rRNA from 1 species
GACGGAGGGCGCAAGCGUUGUUCGGAAUUACUGGGCGUAAAGCGCGCGCAGGCGGGAAGGUAAGUCUGGAGUGAAAUUCCGGGGCUCAACUCCGGAGCUGCUUUGGAUACUGUCUUUCUAGGGACCGGUAGAGGCCGGUGGAAUUCCCGGUGUAGCGGUGGAAUGCGUAGAGAUCGGGAAGAACACCCGUGGCGAAGGCGGCCGGCUGGGCCGGAUCCGACGCUGAGAAGCGAAAGCAUGGGGAGCGAACAGG